rnacentral:rRNA from 1 species
UACGAAGGGCGCAAACGUUGCUCGGAAUUAUUGGGCGUAAAGCGCACGUAGGCGGCUUUGCAAGUCGGAUGUGAAAUCCCUCGGCUUAACCAAGGAAGUGCAUCCGAAACUGCAGAGCUUGAGUACUUAAGAGGAUCGCGGAAUUCCCGGUGUAGAGGUGAAAUUCGUAGAUAUCGGGAGGAACACCAGUGGCGAAGGCGGCGAUCUGGGAAGAUACUGACGCUGAGGUGCGAAAGCGUGGGGAGCAAACAGG